AUGGCUUGGUCUAGGAUCGCCAGGAGCUCGCAGCUGUCGCAGUCCCUCUCGAGGAUCGCGUCCGAGGGCGGCGCGCCCACCCCGGCGGCGUCCGCGCUGCGCAAUGAGGCGGCGCUGGGGCCACGGAGCCGCCACGCCGCGUCGUCGUUCCACAGCCUCGCGUGCGUCGGCCUCGCCGACAAGUGCGGCGCGGGCGCGGCGGGCCAUCUCUACGGCCCGAGAAGAGGCAUCAGCGCGACCCCUGCGAGGCUGCUCCCCGCGGCAGCAGAGCCCGUGGCGGCGGAGUGCUCCGACACCGAGGACCCUGCUGAGGCGAUGGCGGCGUUGCCGGAUCUGGGGCCAACGGGCCUCAAGAACAAGCCCCGCGUCGUGGUGCUCGGCUCCGGGUGGGCGGCGUGCCGGUUCCUCAAGGACGUGGACACCUCCGCCUACGACGUGGUGUGCGUGUCCCCGAGGAACCACAUGGUGUUCACGCCGCUGCUGGCGUCGACGUGCGUCGGCACGCUGGAGUUCCGAUCCGUGGUGGAGCCCGUCAGCCGCAUCCAGCCGGCGCUCGCCACCCGCCCCGGAUCAUACUUCUUCCUCGCCAACUGCACCGGCAUCGACACGCGGAAGCACGAGGUGUACUGCACGGUGGCGGCCGGCGACGAGCAGCUGCCCACCAACCCCUACCGCUUCAGGGUGGCCUACGACAAGCUUGUGAUCGCCAGCGGCGCCGAGCCGCUCACCUUCAACAUCAAGGGCGUCCAAGAGAACGCAAUCUUCCUCCGCGAGGUGAACGAGGCGCAGCAGAUAAGGCGCAAGCUCCUCACCAACCUCAUGCUCUCCGAGAACCCAGGCCUGUCGGAGGCAGAGAAAAAGCGGCUCUUGCACUGCGUGGUCGUCGGCGGAGGCCCCACCGGAGUGGAGUUCAGCGGCGAGCUCAGCGACUUCAUCAUGCGCGACGUGCGGGACAGGUACGCGCAUGUCAAGGACUACGUCAAGGUCACCCUCAUCGAGGCCAACGAGAUCUUGUCGUCGUUCGACGUCGGGCUGCGGCAGUACGCGACGAACCACCUCUCAAAGUACGGAGUGAAGCUGGUGAAAGGCGUGGUGAAGGAGGUGCUGCCGACGGAGAUCGUGCUGAGCGACGGCACCCACGUCCCCUACGGCCUCCUCGUCUGGUCCACCGGCGUCGGCCCGUCGGAGUUCGUCAAGUCCCUCGACCUCCCCAAGUCCCCCGGCGGAAGGAUCGGCAUCGACGAGUAUCUCCGCGUGCCGAGCGUAGAGGACGUGUACGCGCUGGGCGACUGCGCGGGGUUCCUGGAGAGCACGAAGAGGCCGGUGCUCCCGGCGCUGGCGCAGGUGGCGGAGAGGGAGGGCAAGUACCUGGCACAGCUGUUCAAGAAGCUGGCGGCGCAGAACGGCGGCGGCAGGGCGUACUGCGGCAAGAGGGCGGACCUGGGGGAGCCCUUCGUGUACAAGCACAUCGGGAGCAUGGCCUCGGUGGGGCGGUACAAGGCGCUGGUGGACCUCCGGGAGAACAAGGACGCCAAGGGGGUGUCGAUGGCGGGCUUCCUCAGCUGGGUCAUGUGGCGCUCCGCGUACCUGACGAGGGUGGUGAGCUGGAGGAACAGGUUCUACGUGGCGGUCAACUGGGCCACCACGCUCGUCUUCGGCAGGGACAAUACAAGGAUCGGCUGA
rnacentral:rRNA from 1 species